rnacentral:lncRNA from 1 species
CCCCCCGACAAUACAGUUACCACACUGCCCCGGUGGCAGAGACUACUCAUAGCACCUUCUCCCGGGAGUGGGGAGCAGGGAGCACCAACAAGGAGAGAGAGCCAGCCCUCACCAAGAAAAAGUGUCUGGCAAUGACCACAUCUCAGGCUUAGCGAUCAGUCCCAACAGGACCUGCCAUUGCCCAAUCCCAGAUUCCCCGAAGAAAAUAAAAGAACAAGUAAUACAGAGACAUGUGUUGCCUGUGGCCUGGAAGGCAGACUCCAGGAGCAGGGCUGCAGAUCCCUGUAAGGCAGCCAAAGAUGUGUGUGGUGGCCUGUAACUGAACCAGUAUGAGAAUGAAGUUUUGAGAGAUGACAGAUAGCACGAAGCAAGGACAUAGAACCUAAAGCCUUCAGGACAGGCUGCGAUUGUUUUCUGACCUUGGUGCUUGGUGAGUUCUCUUGUUUUUAAUCGAUUUUUGAGAAGGUGACAGAUGAUGAAAAAUGGCAUCUCUGUGGCUGAAGGAUGGCAGCAUUGAACUAGAACCUGUGGUUAUUUUCAGUUCCAAGUCUUUGAAGUUGGAUGGGGAAUGAGCUCUUACACGGCUCAUGAACAAAUCUCUAUGAAGAAAUCCCAAAGAUGAUGGAUGGGUGGGCUUCUUGGCAGUCUACGGUCCCUGUGGGUUUGACUAGACAGCCGCUAUGAAGUUGCUUGCUAUGGGUGGGCUCUGGGCAGUGAUGGGUGUUGGAUGAAGAACCUACCCUGGGAGGUAGCCAUUCAUGGUUCUUCGACUGGGCAUAGAAGCAUACUGCUUCCUCAUCACAUAGCUUUGAGAAGCUAUGUGGACUUCAGCAUUCUUACAGUUUGAUGCAGAUAUGUGUUCAAAACCCGGAAGACUGACAUGAAGGGUUUUCUCUGAAGACUACAGGAAUGCAC